rnacentral:rRNA from 1 species
GACAGAGGGUGCUAGCGUUGUUCGGAAUUACUGGGCGUAAAGGGCGCGUAGGCGGUCUGUUAAGUUCGGUGUGAAAUCCCCUGGCUCAACUGGGGAACUGCGCUGGAAACUGGCAGACUCGAGUACCGGAGAGGAGAGUGGAAUUCCUGGUGUAGCGGUGAAAUGCGUAGAUAUCAGGAGGAACACCGGUGGCGAAGGCGGCUCUCUGGACGGAUACUGACGCUGAGGCGCGAAAGCGUGGGGAUCAAACAGG